CCGUUGCGCAUGCUCGAGGUGAAAGAGGGAAAAAAAGAAAGACGGGGAGGACAACUUCUUUUGGCGGAUGUGACGUAUUAUGCUUUUCUUCAUUUAUUGAUUUUUUUGCACGAGUACUCUCGAAUCCGGGCCGCUCCACGAUUCGCGCGCGGGGCGCGCCUCGUUCGAGAGCCGCGCCAGCCGCGCGCAAAUUUUGCGUAGGGUGCCUUGAUGCACGCUUUCGCGCGCGCGCGUCGAGGCACACUAAUUUUGCGCUCUACUUCGCUUCUGUUUCGUACAAUUGCAGUAGGCCACGGCUCGAUGACAGUUUUCACUCAGCUGUUGGUUCUUGCGCGACUCACCUGAGAGCAAAGGGAGCAGACCAGGUGGUGGUCUGCUGUGCCAGGGCACCAUGUAGGCAAGAUGUUCAACCGAGCCAGACAAGGUCGCAGGCAGCUCACUCUUUUGGGGCAGCUGAUGACGAGGACCUCCGCUCCUGCUGCCGACUGUUCCAGGGACCUGGCAAGGUGGUUGCUGUAUGGGUUGCAGUUACAAGUGGUCUCACGGCAUCACGGUGCCAUGCUGCAGUGAAGCCAUAUUAUCAGGUGGGUCACUUUCAGUAAAC
rnacentral:lncRNA from 1 species